GAUUAGUGGCGGACGGGUGAGUAACAUUUAGGAAUCUGCCUAGUAGUGGGGGAUAGCUCGGGGAAACUCGAAUUAAUACCGCAUACGACCUACGGGUGAAAGGGGGCGCAAGCUCUUGCUAUUAGAUGAGCCUAAAUCAGAUUAGCUAGUUGGUGGGGUAAAGGCCCACCAAGGCGACGAUCUGUAACUGGUCUGAGAGGAUGAUCAGUCACACCGGAACUGAGACACGGUCCGGACUCCUACGGGAGGCAGCAGUGGGGAAUAUUGGACAAUGGGGGCAACCCUGAUCCAGCCAUGCCGCGUGUGUGAAGAAGGCCUUUUGGUUGUAAAGCACUUUAAGCAGGGAGGAGAGGCUAAUGGUUAAUACCCAUUAGAUUAGACGUUACCUGCAGAAUAAGCACCGGCUAACUCUGUGCCAGCAGCCGCGGUAAUACAGAGGGUGCGAGCGUUAAUCGGAAUUACUGGGCGUAAAGCGAGUGUAGGUGGCUCAUUAAGUCACAUGUGAAAUCCCCGGGCUUAACCUGGGAACUGCAUGUGAUACUGGUGGUGCUAGAAUAUGUGAGAGGGAAGUAGAAUUCCAGGUGUAGCGGUGAAAUGCGUAGAGAUCUGGAGGAAUACCGAUGGCGAAGGCAGCUUCCUGGCAUAAUAUUGACACUGAGAUUCGAAAGCGUGGUACAACAG
rnacentral:rRNA from 1 species